rnacentral:rRNA from 1 species
UAAAGUCUAACCUGCCCACUGAAAAUUUUUAAAUGGCCGCAGUAUUCUAACUGUGCAAAGGUAGCAUAAUCAUUAGUCUUUUAAUUGAAGGCUGGAAUGAAUGGUUGGACGAGAUAUUAACUGUUUCAUUUAAAUUUUUUAUAGAAUUUUAUUUUUUAGUCAAAAAGCUAAAAUUUAUUUAAAAGACGAGAAGACCCUAUAAAUCUUUAUAUUUUAUUUAUUUUAAUUAUAAAGAUUAUUUUUAUUAUAAUAAAUUAAAAUAUUUUAUUGGGGUGAUAUUAAAAUUUAAAAAACUUUUAAUGAUUAAAAUCAUUAAUGUAUGAAUAUUUGAUCCAUUAAUAAUGAUAAAAAAUUUAAGUUACUUUAGGGAUAACAGCGUAAUUUUUUUGGAGAGUUCAUAUCGAUAAAAAAGAUUGCGACCUCGAUGUUGGAUUAAGAUAUAAUUUUGGGUGUAGCCGUUCAAAUUUUAAGUCUGUUC